GCCAUAGAUUUCUCUUCUCUCCUGCAAUGCAAGGUUGAUUUUCCUCUUAAACAUUCACACGGAAAAGAAUAGAGCUACUCCGUACACAUUGUGUGCCGGCGUCAGAACAUCUUAUACUAAUUAGUAAGUUCAGGAAAUAUGUUCCAAACUGAAGCUCAGACAAGGAGACAGGGAUAUAUAGACAGAGUGCUAUGAUGUGUGUUGUUAGUUAUGAAUAGUUCGGGGAAAAAAACUGGAUACUCAUCAUGGGUUAUGAAGUAGACAAAAAUGCAUUUCAUAGCAUUUGCUAUAUAUGCGUACACCUUUCUAGUCUUUUUCAGUUCAAGUUUUGCUAGGAAAAAAAGAUUUGUCGCAAUUCAAUAUAAAAUAGUGAAAUCGAUUAGCUGAUGGAAAAUAAUUCAAGUAUAUGUGUGCACACUGUAGUAGCAAUUCGGGCAUGCAUGGUGUGUGCUCUAUGUGUUAUUUUUCCGAGAUGUGAGUUGUCUGAUCCUCUAAAUAGGAGAAUUUGUGUUUAUUGAGAUACCAUAGAUGGGUGCCAAUCGUGCUCCCAUUUAUAUUUGGGCUUAUCAUAAUUCACUAGGGAGAGCUAUUAUGUACAGAAGUACAUGUAUUGAUGCCCCCGGAGUCCAUGUAUCAUUACAAAAAAAUAGUUUAGUUUUUGUUAAAAAUUGCUUGCACCUGUUUCGUUCCUCCAGAUGCCCCCUCCUCUUGCCUACUCCCUGACCUUCUCCCUCCUACCCAUCCGUCCGGGUAUGGUACUCACACCAGUUCAAGUAGUGAUGUUGCAACAAGUACAGCUCCUCCCCUGUCAAGCUUAGUGAGCCAAAAAAGAGCAUGUUGAUGGAUGAUUGCUAGCUCGCUUCAUCAUCGGCAGAUUUUCCCGUCUACUAACUUGUGGUUAAUUCCUUCUAUCCGUCUAUCCUUGUGGAUGCCUACAAAAUAUAGUUUUCUGUGCUGCUACUUCAUCAGUCCAUAAUGUGCAUAAGCUGUAGUCCUGGUUGUGUAGAGAAAUGAGGUGUGUGGCUGGUUCACUAUGUGUGUGUGUGCAUAUGUGUUAACUGGUGGCCGGUGGUGUGUGUGUGCAGGGUACUGCCGGAGAUAAGUAGUAGGCGGCAAAGUGUUUUGAAGUAGCACCAAGACGGGGCAUAAAGAUGGCGAGCAGGUAUGAGCAGCGAGCUGCUACUGCACUUGUGCGGCUACUUCUGCGAAUGAAUCUGGCUAGUUAUAGCUAUUGGUACUAAACUUGUGUGCGUUUGUUAUCUUUGGUAGCUAAUUUUUGCCGUGUGCAACUACUGAACCUGGUGUCCUCCUACUAUUGAACUGUUUUGAUGCAAAUGUCGCUGAUGAACAUACUUUGUGUAGAAAAAGCUACAAAAAAUCACUUUUUCUGGUUGUAAAAAUUUCUAAACUUGCUCUGGUCUAGCAGUUCAACAAAUAUUGAUGUUUGGUUAAUAUUUUUUAUGAUCCAUUUGGCAGAAAAGAUUCAUUUGAUUUCUGAAGCUUAUAUACAACACUUCUGUCAUAAAAUCGUUUUUCAUGUCAAUGGUUGAGGUGCAAAAAAGAAGUACAUGUACAUAUACUGAAUCUAAAUGGGGUAAACAUGAACAAGUACAUGUACAUAUACAUUGUGAUGAGUUGAAAUCAUGCUAGUACCUUUUUUCCGGUCAGUUUAAUAAAAACAAAAUAACAUUGUAGGAUAGUACUCACUGUUGUUUGAAUGGUGCACUGUUUAGCUACCGCAAAUUGUGGGUAGCAUUGAUAUGUUCAGGGGAACUGUAAUUAUUUACUGUUUGUCAUGCUCUUUAGUGUUUGUUUCUAUUCCUGUUAGCACCAAAUAAUUUUUUGAAAAUGUUUAUUUUGUGCUCCCACAUAUUUGUUUUGGGCAGUACAAACACAUCGACAUAGUGAGUAAGGAUGUGGCACCUCCAAUGCGCAAGCCCAAGAUGACGACGCCGAUCACUAGCAUGAAGGACAUCAGCAGGUUGAGGAUGAAGUACAUGACACAGGCAAUGAGGAUGACCAGAACGUGGAAUCCGUACACAUAGCAGCAGCUGCAAGUUCAAACUUUUUGUCUAUGAUGAUUCGAUUGCUACUUCUUAAAAGAAAGUGCACAUGACAGUUAGAUGUUUGUGUAAGAAAGGAAAAAUGGUUUGAAUUGAAAACAUUGAUUUGUACGAGUUGAAAACAGUGAUUAGUUCGAUGGUGCUCUCUCCUGCCUAUUUUGGUUUAUGUCCACGAAUGGACACAAAAUAUAUGGGAAAUGUUCUAUUAUUACUAGCAUAUAAGUACAGAAAAAAGUUCAACACGAUGUCCCAGAUAAGUUUGAGAAAAAGCU
rnacentral:lncRNA from 1 species